rnacentral:rRNA from 1 species
UACGAAGGGGGCGAGCGUUGUUCGGAUUUACUGGGCGUAAAGGGCGCGCAGGCGGCUUUGUUUGUCAGAUGUGAAAGCCCCGGGCUCAACCUGGGAAUGGCAUUUGAUACUCUGAGGCUGGAGUACGGGAGAGGAGAGUGGAAUUCCCAGUGUAGAGGUGAAAUUCGUAGAUAUUGGGAAGAACACCGGUGGCGAAGGCGGCUCUCUGGACCGUAACUGACGCUGAGGCGCGAAAGCGUGGGGAGCAAACAGG